CCCUUAGAUGUUCUGGGCUGCACGCGCGCUACACUGACGCACGCAACAGGUGCCUGCUCCGAGAGGACUGGGUAAUCAUUUGAGUGUGCGUCGUGAUGGGGAUAGAAUAUUGUAAUUAUUACUCUUCAACGAGGAAUUCCUAGUAAGCGCCAGUCAGCAGCUUGCGCUGAUUACGUCCCUGCCCUUUGUACACACCGCCCGUCGCUCCUACCGAUGGGUGAUCCGGUGGAUGAUUCGGACUUCAGCGGCUCCCCUGGGGUGCGCCGGAGAAAGUUUUGUGAACCUUAUCACUUGGAGGAAGGAGAAGUCGUAACA
rnacentral:rRNA from 1 species